rnacentral:rRNA from 1 species
ACAAUGGCAGGUACAGAGGGAUGCUACCGGGCGACCGGAUGCGGAUCUCGAAAGCCUGUCCCAGUUCGGACUGGAGUCUGNAACCCGACUCCACGAAGUUGGAUUCGCUAGUAAUCGCGCAUCAGCCAUGGCGCGGUGAAUACGUUCCCGGGCCUUGUACACACCGCCCGUCAAGCCAUGGAAGCCGGGGGUGCCUGAAGUGUGCAGCCGCAAGGAGCGCCCUAAGGUAAAACCGGUGACUGGGGCUAAGUCGUAACAAGGUAAC